UACGUAGGGGGCAAGCGUUGUCCGGAAUUAUUGGGCGUAAAGAGCGCGUAGGCGGUCCGAUAAGUCGGCUGUGAAAGUCAAGGGCUCAACCCUUGAAAGCCGGCCGAUACUGUCGGACUAGAGUCCGGAAGAGGCGAGUGGAAUUCCCGGUGUAGCGGUGAAAUGCGCAGAUAUCGGGAGGAACACCAAUGGCGAAGGCGACUCUUUGGCCUGUAACUGACGCUGAGGCGCGAAAGCGUGGGGAGCAAACAGG
rnacentral:rRNA from 1 species